UACCACAGAACUGUCGAAGAACAGCAAGAUGUAAUUUCAUCUGUACCUUCUCUUCUCUUCUCUUGUUUACCCUUUCUUUCCUUUCCCUUUUUUAUCUUGCUAGUUUAUUGCUUGAUAAUUACACGUUCUGAUUCGGAUUCUAAACUCAUUCGCAUGAAAAUAAUAGUAUAUUUAUUUGAU
rnacentral:ribozyme from 1 species